GGAGCGGAUGCGUCCCGGUGGGCGUCCCGGUCUUCAAAACCGGUGGCGGGCGUCGCGGAGACGUCCGCGGUGGGUUCGACUCCCAUCCGCUCCC
rnacentral:tRNA from 2 species